rnacentral:SRP_RNA from 1 species
CGCACUAGUCGGGGAGAUAGCGGUGCCCUGUAACCUGCAAUCCGCUAUAGCAGGGAUGAACUCCCAUGGAAGGGCCUUUGCUGUGUCGCUGUCCGUGUAAGCGAUGUUGAGGGAUCGGUCUUGCGCAAUGCGCUCCUGUGAACCAUGUCAGGCGGGGAACCGAGCAGCAUUAAGCAGAUCUGCGUGUGUGCCGCGAGGUCACCGUUCCUGAGUUGGCUGCGCGGGAA